GGAGUUAGCCGGUGCUUCUUCUGCGAGUAACGUCACAGAUGUAAGGUAUUAACUUACACCCUUUCCUCCUCGCUGAAAGUGCUUUACAACCCGAAGGCCUUCUUCACACACGCGGCAUGGCUGCAUCAGGGUUUCCCCCAUUGUGCAAUAUUCCCCACUGCUGCCUCCCGUAGGAGUCUGGGCCGUGUCUCAGUCCCAGUGUGGCUGAUCAUCCUCUCAGACCAGCUAGGGAUCGUCGCCUAGGUGAGCCUUUACCUCACCUACUAGCUAAUCCCACCUGGGCUUAUCCAUCAGCGCAAGGCCCGAAGGUCCCCUGCUUUCCCCCGUAGGGCGUAUGCGGUAUUAGCAGUCGUUUCCAACUGUUAUCCCCCACAAAUGGGCAAAUUCCCAGGCAUUACUCACCCGUCCGCCGCUCGUCAUCUUCAAAAGCAAGCUUUUGAAAUGUUACCGCUCGACUUGCAUGUGUUAGGCCUGCCGCCACGCGUCAAUCUGAGCAUGAUACAACUACUGA
rnacentral:rRNA from 1 species